CCUACGGGAGGCAGCAGUGGGGAAUCUUGCGCAAUGGGCGAAAGCCUGACGCAGCAACGCCGCGUGCGGGAUGAAGGCCUUCGGGUUGUAAACCGCUUUUAACAGGAACGAAAAUGACGGUACCUGUAGAAUAAGGUGCGGCCAACUACGUGCCAGCAGCCGCGGUGACACGUAGGCACCAAGCGUUGCCCGGAUUUAUUGGGCGUAAAGAGCUCGUAGGCGGUUCGAUAAGUCGGGUGUGAAAACUCUGGGCUUAACCCAGAGACGCCACUCGAUACUAUUGUGACUAGAGUUCGGUAGGGGAGCGGGGAAUUCCUAGUGUAGCGGUGAAAUGCGCAGAUAUUAGGAGGAACACCGGUGGCGAAGGCGCCGCUCUGGGCCGAAACUGACGCUGAGGAGCGAAAGCGUGGGUAGCAAACAGGAUUAGAUACCCUGGUAGUCCACGCCGUAAACGGUGGGCACUAGGUGUGGGCUCCAACCAACGGAGUCCGCGCCGUCGCUAACGCAUUAAGUGCCCCGCCUGGGGAGUACGGCCGCAAGGUUAAACUCAAAGGAAUUGACGG
rnacentral:rRNA from 1 species